UACGGAGGGUGCAAGCGUUAUCCGGAUUUACUGGGUUUAAAGGGUGCGUAGGUGGGUCUGUAAGUCAGUGGUGAAAUCUCCGAGCUUAACUCGGAAACUGCCAUUGAUACUAUAGGUCUUGAAUUAUCUGGAGGUAAGCGGAAUAUGUCAUGUAGCGGUGAAAUGCUUAGAUAUGACAUAGAACACCAAUCGCGAAGGCAGCUUACUACGGAUUGAUUGACACUGAGGCACGAAAGCGUGGGGAUCAAACAGG
rnacentral:rRNA from 1 species